rnacentral:piRNA from 1 species
UNGUCAGGUGAAAUCAGUGGCUCAUUUGC